CGGCAGCACGGGGGCAACCCUGGUGGCGAGUGGCGAACGGGUGAGUAAUACAUCGGAACGUGUCCUGUAGUGGGGGAUAGCCCGGCGAAAGCCGGAUUAAUACCGCAUACGCUCUACGGAGGAAAGGGGGGGAUCUUAGGACCUCCCGCUACAGGGGCGGCCGAUGGCAGAUUAGCUAGUUGGUGGGGUAAAGGCCUACCAAGGCGACGAUCUGUAGCUGGUCUGAGAGGACGACCAGCCACACUGGGACUGAGACACGGCCCAGACUCCUACGGGAGGCAGCAGUGGGGAAUUUUGGACAAUGGGCGAAAGCCUGAUCCAGCAAUGCCGCGUGUGUGAAGAAGGCCUUCGGGUUGUAAAGCACUUUUGUCCGGAAAGAAAACCUCCGCCCUAAUAUGGUGGGGGGAUGACGGUACCGGAAGAAUAAGCACCGGCUAACUACGUGCCAGCAGCCGCGGUAAUACGUAGGGUGCAAGCGUUAAUCGGAAUUACUGGGCGUAAAGCGUGCGCAGGCGGUCCGCUAAGACAGAUGUGAAAUCCCCGGGCUUAACCUGGGAACUGCAUUUGUGACUGGCGGGCUAGAGUAUGGCAGAGGGGGGUAGAAUUCCACGUGUAG
rnacentral:rRNA from 1 species